GCGUCGACCGGAUCCAUCGCGCGCGUGACCACCAGGUAGUCGCGCAGCACGAUCGAAUGCCGGUUGUC
rnacentral:sRNA from 1 species